rnacentral:rRNA from 1 species
CCUACGGGAGGCAGCAGUGAGGAAUAUUGGUCAAUGGGCGCGAGCCUGAACCAGCCAAGUAGCGUGAAGGAUGACUGCCCUACGGGUUGUAAACUUCUUUUAUAAAGGAAUAAAGUGAGGCACGUGUGCCUUUUUGUAUGUACUUUAUGAAUAAGGAUCGGCUAAAUCCGUGCCAUCAGCCGCGGUAAUACGGAGGAUCCGAGCGUUAUCCGGAUUUAUUGGGUUUAAAGGGAGCGUAGAUGGGUUGUUAAGUCAGUUGUGAAAGUUUGCGGCUCAACCGUAAAAUUGCAAUUGAUACUGGCAGUCUUGAGUACAGUUGAGGUAGGCGGAAUUCGUGGUGUAGCGGUGAAAUGCUUAGAGAUCACGAAGAACUCCGAUUGCGAAGGCAGCUUACUAAACUGCCACUGACAUUGAUGCUCGAAAGUGUGGGUAUCAAACAGGAUUAGAUACCCUAGUAGUC